AGCUUCGGUGCAAUCCGAAAAAGAAUA
rnacentral:tRNA from 1 species